AAAAUCACACCUUAAUCCAGAGCAAAAUGAAAAGAGAAAGGGAAGUGAGACCUUUGCCAGCUCUAGAAAUGCAGGUGAUACAACGAAGAGAGAUACGGUUUGGUAGGUUUUAUUUGCUCUCAUGAUGAAUUUAAUCAGCCUUCCUUUGCUGAUGUCAAAACCAAAGUAAGUGCCUUGGUCCCUGUUUCUCCCUGCUGGGGCCAGACGUCUGAUGGGAAGAGGUUGGCAGAGGGCUUCCAGGGGGCAUAAUUACCAGAGGCUCAAGGAGUGAUGCUGGCAUCCCCCUUGGAAAAAUCCAUCUGUAUCAGCCUCAGAAACGAGCUCUUGUCUCACCUCUGGGAUUUGGAAUGAAGAGAAGGUAAGUGGCAAGGAAUCCAGUUGACUCUUGGCGAUUGGCUCUUCUUCUUAAAAGGAAUUCUGGAGUUAGGCAUUCAAUCAAAAACCCCAAAAUAAAUACCUGGGCUGCAAUGAUAUUGCAAGUAAAUAUUUCCAAAGCCAGGGAAUCUCGAAACAAACAUUUCUCCCAACGGAUGUUGCCUUCCACACACUAUGAGAAGGAAGCUUUUGCAAUUAUCUGAAAAGCUUGCCCCUAAAAUCUCUAUUUUGGCCUAAAUGAUGUGGUUUUGCUGCUUUGGGCUUCCCAGUUCUCUGGAAGGUGCAGAAGCCCUUGUCUUCAUUAUGUUAAAGUCUUGUUACCUUUGGUGGCCUUAUGACUCACUGCAAAUCACACAGGAAACUGAAUACAUUCUCUCUUGCCCACCUUGAUAACAAUGGUGACUACCAUUAUUUUGUAUUAACUACAUGCAGGCUCUGUGAUGAGAAUUUUGCCUGCAUUAUCUUAUUUAAUCCUCCCAGUAGGAAAUUGUGUUGGCUCUGCCUUCAGAAUGUAUUCAGAACCUGGCAUUUCUCACCACCUCCGUGCCAGCACCCUGGUCCAAGCCCCCAUCUUCUCUCACCUGCAUGACUGCAGUAUGUGCCUAACUGGUCUGCCCACUGCUGCCCCUGUCUGUCUGUGGUCUACUUUCAACAUAGCAGAUUAAAUGAUGCCUUUGAGAUAGAAGUCAGCUCAGGUCAAAAACCUACCAGGGCUCGUUAUCUCUCUCAGAGUAAAAUCCAAAGUCCUCAGCAUGGCCCACAAAAUCAGCUCCUUCUCUUCUCCCCCAAAUGCAUGCUAGGCCCGGCACACCAGUUUCCUCUGCUUUCCGUGAGCAUGGCAGAACACUCGUGCCUCAGGGCCUUUGCACGACCUGUUCCUCUUCCUCCCAGAUAGCCACAUGACUUAUGCUCCUUCUUUCUUCAAGUCUUUGUUCAAAAGUCACCUUCUUAGUGGGGCUUAUGCUGAUCACACCAUUUAAAAUGCAGACCUUCCCUCAGCUCUCCUGGUCUACUUUUCUCCUCAUAAAAUGUAUCACCAUCAAACUACUUCAUAAUUACUUAUUGUUAUGUUUAUUUUUUGUCUCUCCCCACAAGGCCAGGGACCUCUUUCUGUUUUAGUCAGUGCUGGUUAACAGUAUGUGUUGCACAGUGGGUGUAUUGAUAUAAUAAAUGUUUGUCGAAUGAGCCAUGAAGUAUGUCCUAUAACCAUAUUACAGAGGAUGGAACUGGGGGACUCAGAGGGGUUAAGUGACUUCCCCAAGGUAAGUUAGUUGACGGCAGAGUUGGGACUUGAAUCCAGGUCCUACUGUCCCAAAGCAAUUUAACUGCUAUGGUUUUACUGAUCCCAAGUUAAGCCCACCUUAAGAUACGCUGAUUAUUGCAAGCUACCAUUCAGCAAAAGCCCAUUUCAAGACCCUGCUCACCUGGUCUGGUAUUUGGACAAUUCAAAGUUAGUGCGAUUGUGCUUAGUCAUAGUCAGAAUUGUUAAAUUUCCACAAGUGUAACGGAAAGUGAAACUUACAUGACAAAUCCUGGGUUAACCGUUUGAUUAGUGUACUUUGAAUAACAGUUCCCCAGUUGCUCAUGUGAUAGUGAUAGUUGGGAUAUUCUAAAGGUGAGAUCUUAGCAGAUGGAGUUUAAAGCAUAGAUAAGGUAAUUACAUAGUAAUUAUCUUCAACUAUGUACUUACCCUCCUAGACUCGGGGGACAUGAUAGAGAAACUUAGGGGAAGUUUUUCCCACUCAAGCUAUGUCCUCUAUGGUCAGGAGACCAGCCUUCUGAGAUUUUAAAAGCAAAUCUUGAUAAGGUUAAACAUAUCACCCCACAAUUCCAUUCCUACGUAUAUACCCAAAAGAGUAGAAAACAGGUGCUCAACGAAAAUAUGUAUGGGAAUGUUCAUAGCAGCGUUAUUCAUAAUAUCUAAAAGAUAAAAACAUCCAAAAUGUCAGUCAACUGAUGAAUACAUGAAUUGUGGUCUAUCCAUACAAUGGAAUAUUAGCCAUAAAAAAGAAUGAAGUACUGAUACAUGCUACAACAUGGAUGAACCUUGAAAACAUUAUGUUAUGCCAAAGGAGCCAGUCAAAAAGGCCACGUGUGGUAUGAUUCCAUGUGUAUGAAAUGUCUGGAAUAGGCAAGUUCAUAGUGACAGAAAGCAGGUUAGUGGUUUAAGAGGGGCUGCAGAGAGGGGAAUGAAGAGUGACUGUUAAUGUGUAUGAGGAUUUCUUUUGGAGUGAUGAGAAAAUUCUAGAACCACACAGUGCUGGUGGUUGCUUAACACUGUGAAAGUACACAAUGCCACUGAAUUGUACACUUGAAAAUGGUUAAAAUGGUACAUUUUAUGUUAUAUAUUUUUUUGCCACAAAUUUUUAAAGUAAAUCUUUAAAUCCUGGCCUUGGUAGCAGGACAUUUUGGUUUGGUUCUGAUUUGGUAUGCAGAUAGCUAAGGUUGAAGUCUCUUGGUGACAACUCUAGGCUAAGAAGAGCUGCAACCUGUCAGAUUAGGCUGUGUAACAGACUUGCAUCUGUGGCUUGAUCGGAUGGUAAGCACUGUGGAAUAGAGGCCUGAUUCUCUGCACUCUCAGAAAUGGUGGUGAGUACAGUACUAUUCAGACAUGCAGGAAAGCCAAUUCUUUAUUUCCUUCACCAUUGCCAAAGUCAUAUACCCUUGUUGUAAAAAAUCUAAAUCUAUGGAAGGGAUGUUUUCCCUCUCAUCUUCACUAUUCCCACUUCUAGGUUUAGCCACCACCAUCUACAACCACGUGUAUAUCCUUUCAGGCCUUUCUCUACUCAGGUAGAAUCAUCUACAUAUAAAUGUGUGCAUCGUUGAAUAGGCUUUUCUUUUUUUUUUUUUUUUUGGCGGUACGCGGGCCUCUCACCACUGCAGCCUCUCCCGUUGCAGAGCACAGGCUCCGGACACGCCGGCCGGCCAUGGCUCACAGGCCCAGCCGCUCUGUGGCAUGUGGGAUCCUCCUGGACCAGGGCACGAACCCGCGUCCCCUGCAUCAGCAGGCAGACUCCCAACCACUGCGCCGCCAGGGAAGCCCUGAAUAGGCUUUUUUAUUUUUUUAACAAAAACAAACUUAUACUAUAUAUAUUGGUCUGCAGUUUGCUUUUUUUCGCUCAAUAUCAUAUCACAAAAAUCUUUCCACAUGACUACAUACAGAUUUAUCUGUUUCUUCUUAAUGGCUACAUAGCCUGGAAAUAUCACCAUUUAUUUAACCAGUCUCCUCUUGUCGGACAAAUUAUCUUUCACCCUCACAAACCAGGUUGUGAGGAAUACCCUGUUCAUAUAUUCUUGCUUACUCAUGGGAGUUUUUCAGUGGGAGAGAUUCCUAGAAGUGAAAUUGCUGGGUUGAAGUCAGAUCCUUUCUGUUCUGUGACUUUUCAAGAUCACGUCAGUUUGGGACACAAAUGUAUACUGUCUGUGGCCUUAGGACAAAAAGUCUAGAACUUAGAGCUUGUGAUCAGGCUUUGCUCAGCUCGGCGUUCUACCCUGCAUUUUGCAACUGUAGCUAUUUUCAUUCAUUUUAUAGGCUUACUGUCUUCAGAUUGAUUCCAGCAGAGGGAAAAGAAAUCAGGUCCUUCUGUGCCAUUCUUCAAACAUUUAGAGGAAAUUGAUUUUCCACAUGGGCUGUAGCCAAGCGAGGGAUGCGCCGGCACAGAAGUCCCUGCGACAAGCUAUUACAACCAACACUUGCAACAAUUAGACUCAACCCAACUUGAGAUACUUUAUUAGUGAGUGUAAUUCCUCAUCAGGCUAAUAUUGCAGAUUGCCAAAAGCAGCAGCGAUUCUAAAAUAGGAUUUCCUUCAUAAUCCCUUUUAAAGGGAAGAACUUGAGGAGAUUUGAACUGUCUGGAGAAAGAAAGCUUUUAUUCUCUUGACUGAGGAAAGAAAGCAGUUGGUCCAAGAAGCUGAUAGCCUACCUUCCCUUUCUGCUCUUACCUCUUUAAGGUGCUUUCUCAUGGCAUUAGCUAGGAGGUUUUCACCUGCAGAGAACAGAAACAGGCAGGUUUGGGGUUGGUUGACUCAGCACCUCAACAAUCUCACUGGGAAUUCAGGUUCUUCCCAAAGUGCUUAAGAACACUGACUCUGGAGCCAGACAUUUUGGUAGUGAAUCUCAAGUCUACCUCGUAACAGCUGUGUGACCUUGGGCAAAUUACUUAACGUCUCUGAGCCUCAGUUUUCUCAUCUGUUAAAAACAGGAUAGUAAUAGUACACCAACUCAUAGGGCUGUUGUCUCUGCUAAAGCAAGGGAAGGCAAACUUCAUAAAGGACCAGGUAGUAAAUAUUUUAGGCUUUGCUCUUGGCAAGGUAGUUGGUAGUUUCUGUCCAACCACUCAACUCUGCUCUUGUAGCAUGAAAGCAGCUGUAGACACCAGAUAAAUGAGUGGGCAUGGCUGUGUUCCAAUGAAAUUUUAUUUAUGGACACUAAAAGUUGAAUUUUAUAUAAUUUUCAUGUGUUGUGAAAUACUGUUGUUUUGAUUUUUCUUUAACCAUUACAAAAUGUAAAAACCAUUUUUAGUUCACGGGCCACCAAAAUAGGUAUGGUCACCCCUCUAAGCUGAAGCACAUAAUACAUUUAGAAUAGUACCUGGCAAGCCCUAAAUGCUCAAUAAAUGUUUGCUACUAUUACUGUUGUUAUUAUUACCACAUCCACCAUCAUCCUCUGGCCACUCUUCCACCUUUCCAUGUUGCCUUCAUCCCCCAGCCUGAUAGCAAGAUGGUGGCCAGAGUUCAAGGUGGGGCAUCCAGAGGGAAAGGAAAGACUCUCCUUUCCUGUGACACUUUGUUAGCAGCAAGGAGAUCUUGCCUCACAUGUCUCACACGUGCCCACUGUCUCAGUCACCAGAGUGGGGUCACAUGGCCUCUGCAGAACCAAUCACUGGAAAGAGGAGGGAUUAUUCUUUGACCAAUCAGGCCCACCCCUGCAGCUGGGGGUGGAGUCAGUUUGCCCUGAGUCACGUGCUGAAUGGGGAAUUGGCAAAUGCCUGACCCAAACAGAGCUUUUGUUAGGACAGAGCAAAGUAGGACAUGGAUACUGGGUAGACAACCAGCAAAGCCUGCUACAGCCACUCUUUCAAAUCCCCAUGAAUCUAUCACAAGCAGAGGACCCGCUAAUCCGGUUUAUAUAUUGAUACAUAGUCUUUAACAAGAGCCAGCCUUUAAAAGAUUUGGGCUGGAGAACAUUGGCUCUGCUGACCUUUAAGUCUUUUUAAAUAGACACUGUGGUCAUAACUCACUGAUCAUAAGCAUUCCAAACAACUUCAUGGCUCUUUUGAGUUUACUACACACCCUCCCCAUCCGAUCCCUCAUUUGACCUUCACAGUUCUCUGAAGCAAGGACUGUGAUCCUCAUUCUGCAGGAAAGAGGAGAAGUGACAUGACCAAGGGCAUGUGGUUAGGCCCUGAAGCUGGACCUUGAACCUUGGUUUCCAGCCUCCAGAUUCCUGGCCCUUUUUUACGCUACCUCCUGGUUGCAGUGGCAGCUGCUGUAUGGCAGGAAGAGUUGGUGGCUGAGAAGGUAUUGGUGACAAAUAGGGGAUUUGCUGGGAGUCAACACAGCCCAAAACAUUUGUCUUGGGUGAAGACGUUUAGGUAUAAUUAAGGAUUUUCUCUGGAGUAUCCACAGGUUUUGUAUACUAUGAAAUCUCAGGAAAUAGUAAAAUAAUUAUUAUAAUAUAAUAAUAAUAAUAGCAAUAAUAUUAUAUUAUUAUAAUAAUAGCAAUAGUUAUUCUGAUGGAAUACAAACGUGCCUUUUUCUGAUCUCAAAAGGGAAACAUAAUUGUCCAAGCAUCUCUUUAUAUUUAAGUCGUAAUUGUAAUGUGUGCCUCCCUACAUGUAAGCCCUGUUUGGGGCUUACGGACUUGCAAGAUGAGAAAAGGGAAUUCCCCCUCAAAUAAAAGAAACCUCGUUGAGUAAACUGGGUGUACCCAAGUGAAGGAAUAUUAUGCAACCAUUAGCUUUAAUGCUUAUGAAAACUUCUUAAUGCCUUGAGAACACUCUGAAGAUAGAGCAUUAAGGGAUAGAAGCAGGGCACAAAAUUACAUGCAGAGAUGAGAUCAACUUUGUUAUAAAGACCAUGGAAAAGAUUGGCAGCCAAGAGACCAAAGCAUUAACCCAUUUGCCUCUGGGUCAUGAAGUCAUGAGUGGUUUCUUCCCCCCAGCUUCUUUAUAUAUUUUUUCUAUUCUUUCCAGUCUGUCUACAGUACUCAUUUUUAUGAUCAAAGAAAAACAUAAAGUAAAAGCCAGAGGAAGACUGGGUAGUUUCGCAGGCUAGGAUUUCUUAUUAUAUAGACAGAUCCUGGCAAUAAAGGACUAAGUGAGGCAAACCAGGGCUGUUUGCAGAGUGAAAGGAUGAAAACCGCACCUCGAAGGAUGCUCGUCCUCCAGAAGUAGCUGUGCAGCCUCAGCACAGCUGGCUGACAAGGAGAAAAUGGACAGAAUCCUCCAGCUAUGGAGUGUGGCUUUGAGCAAAUUAACCACUCUGACCUUCAGUUUCUUCAUCUGUUACAUGAGAAUAAUAACACCUAGUACAUUGGGUUGAACUUCUUUCAAUUACAGAACAUAUAUUUAUUGAGUUCUUACUGUCGUAGGAGCUAAAGAUGCAACAGUGAUCAAAGAAAUAAGGUCCCUGUUCUCCAGCACAUUCAUUCUAGUGGAGGGUUAGGGUGGGGAGAUGAGUUGAAUAUUGGGGGAGCAACAAAAGCAAAUGUCCUGGGACAGACAAUAGCUUGGCACUUUAUACCAGAGAGGGGUCUUAUGUGUCCGGAGCUUAGUGCGUAAGUGGGGAGUGGAGCAGUUAGGGAGAAGUAGACAGGGGGCGAGCCUGGCAGGCCAGGGCAAGAAACUUUGAUUUCAUUCUAAAUAUAAUGGGAAGCCACUUAAAGGUUUUUAGCCGCAGACUAGCAUGAUCUGAUUUAGAGUUUAUGUCUUAAAAAGGCCACUUUGCUGCCAUGUAGAGAAUGGAUUGUAAGAUUGUGUGGGACAAUCAAUACACAAAAGCACUUAACAUUGGGUCUGGCACAAAGUAAGUGUCUUAAUAAGUGGUAACUGUUUUUCAUUAUUAUCAUCAUUAUCCUCAUUAUUAUUACUACUCUUUUGUCUGCCUAGAGCUAGCUCAUGAUUCUUGGACAUUCGAGAUAUCGACAAAGCAUUCUGAUGAGCCGGUGAAUUUUUCAAAUUUGUUUUCCAGGUGUUUUCACAUCCUCAGAGAGGUGAUAGUUAGAAGUCAAACACAAGCUGAUACCUGUAAACGGAAAAGAAAACACCAAACAAACAAAAACAGUGAACACAUGCCUGAAUCCAGUAUUCUUUCAUCCUUCGAGGAGGCAGCAGGUGUCCCAAGCAGCAAGAGUCGUGCCGCCAAUCUCCCUCCCCGGGAGCGACGCUCGGCAUCUCGGCAUCAAGUCACCAUAGCGUUGGACUGUAUGAGAAAACUGAGGCUCAGAAAGGGGAAUUCAUCUGCCCAUGGACACAAAGUUGAAAAGAGGCAGAGCUGAGGCAUGAACUCAGGGCUACCCCAACCUUCUCUCCACCUGAGGUAACCUGCUUUCCACAGAAACCGUGGGGAUCAGUGGAAGCCAGAAGAGAGGAUGAAUCCAUGUUCCAAGAGGACCUCCCAGGAGCAGAAUUUGACAAAGAAAGAGUUCCCAAGUAGUAUUACUUCCUGGCUGCUCUAAUCAACAUUUAAAACUCAUCUGGAUUUGGCAGGAAUUUCUUCGGAAAUCUGGAAACUAUACAAAGGAAUGAAUUGAGAUGCAGAGUCAAAUGAAAUCUGUAAUGUGAUAACUCUAUCAACCCUGCCUGGAAAGAUACUGUAUUUCAAUUAGAUCUUGAGACAUGUUCUUAUAUAAACUGACAGCAUCGGAUUGACAGCGUUCAUCUUCCCAGAGAACACAAUUUACAAGGACAGAGUAGUGAAUUUGGUUCGGUGUUCCAAAGCAAAACAAGAAGCUAGCUGUCUUGUGUCAGUCUCCACCAUUCUUUCUGGAGAGUGUGAAAUCCAAAAAUCCAGGAAGCCCUGGUCUUGAUGACUCUGACACCUUCAGCAGCAGAGAUUUAACACUUAUCCCAACUGGCCAUCCUCACUGUAGGUAAGGCUGUGGCGAAGCAGAUAAUCUCUCGCAGCAGGCUAUGUCCUCCACUCUUGGCAGAAAUGUAAAUUGGUGUAACCUUUUUGCAGAAUCUAUGCAAGUUGCAAUCUUUUGUAUCCUUUGACUCAGCAAUUCUACUUCCAGGAAUUUGUUUUAAUGAAAAACUCACACAAGUUUGCAAAGAAAUAUGCAAGCCCAUCAAUUUAGUCUUGUCUCUAAGUGAAAAACUGAAGGGUACCAAGGACUCACAACAAGGGGACUAGUGGAGACAAGUGAGACACAGCCAGACAGCAACAUCCACGGCGCUGCCACUGGCGGGUUAAUUACGUGGUUCUAUGUUUCCUCACACGGAAGGAGGUCUGUGGGCUCAGAACUCAUUCAUCCUACUGACGUUUCUUGAGCACAGACUAUGUUCCAGGCACUGUUCUAGGCAGAGGAUGCAGGGGUGAAGAAAGGAGACAAUGUCCUUGCCCUCGUGGAGCUUACGUUCUGAUGGGAAAGUUUUUCACAAACAAAUAAAUAGAUAUUAUCAGGUAAUAACAUAUCUGCUAAGUCAAAAGUAAAAGCAAGGAGUGUGGAAAAGCCCCUUUGGAACACAGUUCGGCUGUUUCAUAUAAAGUUAAAUAUAUAUAUCUACCAUAUGGUCCAACCAUCCCACCCGUGGGUAUUUACCCAAGAGAAAUGAAAACUUAUAUUCACCCCCAAAACUUGUGUGUGAAUGUUUAUAGUGACUUUAUUUGUAAUCCCCUCAAAAUGGAAACAACCCUAAUGUCCUUCAACUGAUGAAUGGGUAAACAAAACAUGGUACAUCCAUACAAUGGAAUAUUAUACACCAACAAAAAGGAAGGAGCCACUAAUUCAUGCAACAAAAUGGAGGAACCUCAAAUACAUUAUGUUGAGUGGAAGGCCAUGUACUCUGUAAUUCCAUUUGUAAGACAUUCUGGCAAAGGUAAAACAUAAGGACAGAGAACAGCUUAGUCAUUGCCAGGAGCUUGGGGUGGAGGAAGGGGUUGAUUACAAAGGGGCAAUUGGCAGGAUAUUGGAACUGUACUAAAUCUCUAUUGUGGUGAGGCUUACACAACCCUAGAUGUUUUGUCAAAACUUGUAGAACUCUACACUAAGGCCAGUGGAUUUUACUAUAUGUAGAUCAUACCUCAAUAAACCCGAUUAAGGGAAAAAAGCAAAGUGCAGAAGCUGUAUACAGUAUGAUCCCAUUUUUGUAAGUAAUAAGAAUAAUAGUAAAUGUUAGAAUAUGCUUAGGGAAGAAAAAAAUCUAGAUGAAUAUCCAGUACGCUGAAUUGUUAACAGUAAGUUACCUGGGUUGGGGUGUUUCAUUUUCUAAAUUACACGUUUCUUUGAUGCUUGAAUAUUUUAUAGGGCAUGUGUUACUUUCAGAAUUACAGGGAAAAUCGAAUUAUAAUACAGAAUUUAACCCUCCGUGCAGGCCAGUCUGUUGUGGUGAGGCACAGAACUCAACUGAGAUGCUCAGGCUACGUCAUGUGACUCUGAUUCUGGCUCUGGAGGGCAAUUGUCUGCUCAGGCUAUUAAAGAUACACUGUGACUUUGCAGACCCCUGAGAAGGCUUGGGAGACGCCCUCCUCUUUGGCUUGGGACCCCUGCCCCGCCUCCAGGCAAGGAAGGGCUGCUGUCCUCUCUAAGCUGCUCCUGGGGGGAGCCAGCCCUUUGGUAGCUCUCGUGGGACUCAUUUUUCUGGACAGAGGUGGAGUAAGGCUCAGGGCUGGCGCUGCCCCCGUCCUCCUGCCAUGGAGAAGAGCAGUCUGUGGCCCAAGGUGGUUUAACACCUCUGAUAAUAACAGACAAAGUUUAUUGACACUUGCUCUGCGCCAGGCACUGGCCAAGGACUUACUACUUAGUAUCGGUUUGUAAUUCCUUCAUUUAACAAACAUUUGUUAAACACCAACAAUGUUCUAGGCACUGAGGAUACAGUAGUGAACGAAGAGGAGAAAAAAAACCAACCUUAUAUUCUAUCACCCUGAUAUUCUAAUAGGAGGAGGGGGAGACAGCAAAAAUAUAUAAAAGCAAAUAUAUAUCAGGGGAUUUUAAAUGCUAAGAGAAAACUAAACAGAGUGAGGGGUGUAAGAAGGAGGGAUGGGGCACACUGUCUUAGGUGCAGUGGUCCGAGAGGGUCUUUCCACUGUGGGGGCCAUCUAAGCCAAGGGGAGGAGAGGCCUGCAAGGGCCAGGGCCCUGAGGCUGAGUCUGUGAGAAGAGCUCCAGGGAGGUCACGGGCCUGCAGCAGAGCAUGCAUGGGGGACACUGGCAAGAGAGCAAGAGGCCAAGGGCCUCACACAGGGCCCUGCAGGUGCUGAUGGAGUGUUUGGCUUUUACCUUGAAUGAGGUGGGAGUCAUGGAAGAGUUUAGAGCAGAGAGGAGUGACGUGAUCUGACCUAGGUUUGAUUAGGCUCCCUCUGACUGCUGUGUGGAAAAGAGAACAUAGUGGGGGUGGGAGCAACAGAGGGGCCAGUGGCUUAGGCUUGGAGGGGGCACAUUCUGGAUAUUUCCAUCUCAGCCUUCACUUUCCCAAUCUGCAAAUGGGAUGAUAAUAGUAUCUCCCUCACAGGAGGAUUAAACAAGCUCAUGGUAUUAAAGUACCUGGGCCUGGGCCUGGCACAUGGGAAGUGCUCAAUAAAUAUGCCCGUGCUUGUUAUUAUUAUUACCAAAGUUCCCAUGAAGCCAGGAUAAUUAUGCCCACGUUAUGGAUGAGAAGACUGAGGCUCAGAGUGGUGAGGCUGCUUCUCCAAGAGCAGAUGGCUGGUAAGUGGCAGAGCUGCAUUGCUCCAGGCCCCUGUGGAACAUUUGUGGGGAGGCACAGUGGGCCUAUGAAGAAGACAGGAAGCCCAAAUAAGGGGUAGAGGGUGUCGAAGCAUGGGGGAGCCCUCUAACCUCAUCUUAGUACAGAUGGCAGCAGUGAGCAAGCUUCAGCUAGGAUAGGAUCCUAGGAUAGGGAUAGGAUCUACCUCAUAAGAUAGUUCUGACAAGUAGAUACCCGGCAUAAAAUGAGCUCCGUAAACACAUUCAGAAGACAGCCCCCUCCUGAAAAGAUGGUACAGUAAGGAGGAGCGUAACUGGGUAUAUGGUUGGCGGCAUGUCUUUACUGGCCUCCUUCUGUUGCACCACACAGCUCUGCCUGGGAGAAGAAAGCCCGUCUUCUGUUGGGAUUUUGAGAUGUGGCUGAUUAGAUUAUAAUGAACAGGCUCAUCGGGGUGCACGUGCUGUGUAAACAGUGACCUCUUCUUAAAACCACAAAUAUAGAACAACGCAAAAUGUGGUUUGAGUUACGGCAUGGUUAACAUGAAAUAAAGUCUGCUCAUUGGAAAAUCGUUUUAAGGGUCUAUUAUUUUUUUUAAGAGGGGAAUAUUUACCGAGGUAUUUUUGGUAGAAUAAAGAAGGGGCUUCUAUGUUCAGUAACCGUUGUGAAAUGCCGGUAGCAAAUCCCCAUAACACAACUCGCUAACAUUUACAGAAGCUGUUGUGAUUAAGUGGGAACCAAGCUACCGGAAAAUCUACAAGAAGUCAGCAAAGUAAGAUCAAGAGACUAUAAAGUAAACAAUAGAUAGAGAAUGAAAUGUAAUUUAUUUCCUUGGGGAAGCGAUCUGUACCGACAAUAGCAACAGAGUGACUCUGUAGAUAUACUCCAUUUCCAUCCUCAACCGACUAUUGCAGUCAGCACAUUUGAAAAUGGAGAAAUUGUGUACGCAAUUAAAAAAAAAAACAAUGGAUUAUAACUCACCGGCGUCCUGAGAGGUUGGCAGCCCAUUUUAAAAAGGAAAAACUGAGACUCAAGCGGGAGAGAUGAGUUGCUUGACUCAUCCUUGCUGAGAACCUAUAACCCAGGUGACCGGAGGAGCCCAGUGAACCUGUCACUGAAGCCACGUGAAGACAAAAUGAUGACUCAAGUUUCACAUGUGGCAUUUUUCCUGCCUCCAGAGUGCUGCCUGAGCAAAGGAGCGUGCUCUUUCUAAGGUUUGCUUUUAAAUAAAAUGAUCUGUUGCAGAAAAGCAAGAUCUGGCCCCCAGGCAGGGACCCAGCCAGCAAGGAGCUGGCACCCCUGUGCCAGGGAGCAGGAAAAGUGUCCUCUCAGGCUGGGAACUUAAAGUGCCAGAUAGUUUGGAGGGAACUGGUCUGGUCCCUGGAGGAUGGUGGCCUUUGUCUAACGUGCCAGGACCUGGAUGUCACUUCUCAAAGAGCAGUAUCACACGGGUAGGGCGGCUCCAUCAGUUGCCUUCUCACCUAUCCAGACCUCAGCUGAAGUCCCUGAUUUAGGCCACCAGUGAAAAGACCUUUUCUUCCUUACAAAACCCCUGGACACUUGGGUCUGGCCUGGAGCACAGAAAGCAGAAAGGGUGAGAUAGGCUGGCACAGUUGCCAGAGAAGUUGGCAUCUCCCCUCCCAGUGCACAGUCUGGCUCUGGGCCACCCAGGCAGGCCGUUUCUUUCGUGAGCACUGACUUCGCACUCGCACAACCCUGGAGAGGAAAAGUUACGGAAUCCACCUUGUGGACACCCUCUUCUCUUAGAGGUGAUUUUGUUCACCCUAAAAGCAGAGUUGGCUGUCGUAAGUGAGGCCGUUCAGAUUCCAAGAGAGUGUAUGUAUAUAUGUGGGUCCAUCCAGAGGAAACAGAAUUUAGUUUCAUAUAAUAUAUUUCACCACCUGCCAUGGCCAGAGUGUGCAAUAUGUAAACUUAGUGGAGGCCGAAAAUUUAUGCAUGUGGUCACUUGUUUUUGGUCAAGUGGCAGCAUAGUCAAAGAAAAAUUUCGGGGGACAUUCACACACUUCUUUAUUAUUGGCUAUUAGAAAGCCAUUUGUCGUGGGCUGCUAAAUUCAUUCAAAACUCAGCACUACCAGAAGCAAGAGUCCUUUGUAUGUAAGUGUAGGUAAAAUGCCACUGAGUACAGUUAAUUGAAGCUCAUUGGGAUUUUUAAAAACUCAAAUCAUGGCUUAAAUGAUCUCUUUGGUGGUGUUUCUUGGAGUUCCAUCUCCGCCUACAUUUUAUAAAAAGCUCUGGGUCUGAAGAGUCACUGACAUUUAUUGAACACCUAUUAUGUGUUGGGCGGGUGCUGAGUGCUUUGUGUGCAAUAACUCAUUGAAUAGUCACAUUGGCUGUAAGAGGCAGAUACAAGGAUGACCCUGCUUUAGGGAUGAGGAAACUGAGGCACAGAAAGUUUAAAUCACCGUCCAAGAGGUCAAAAAGUUCAGUGGCAAGGCUGGGAUCUGGACCAGGUGUCGUCCAGCCCUAAAGUUCUCGCCCUUCGCCAGACCUCAAGCCGUGCUCCGAGCCAGCAACAACUGCUAUUGUUUUUACUUCAUCCUCUGCACCGCCUUAGGGGAGGGGUUAGAACAGUUAGGAAAUCCUUGAUGGUUAGGAGCGGAGCUGUUAUUGCCCAAGGCACCACAGCUUGACUGGUAUAAGACCAUUCUCUCAGAGGGAACCUAAAACCUCAACUUAAAAAUUGAAUUAUGAAAGUGAAGGAAUGAAAAGGAUAGGCCUGCUUCGUGGAAGCGUCUGUAAGUGUCUUUAUGGAAUUAUGGAAUGAAUGGCCUGUCCACACCAUGUGAGAGGGACCCAAGACCGGUGUUUGUCAUUGUGCCAAACCCCCGACUGAUCUCACUGGGACUGCCUUUGUUUCUCUUUUUGUUCUCAGCUGCUGACUUGAAUAGCAAAAAAAAAAAAAAAAAAACCUCAUGAGGAAGUGCAAAUGGUCAAGAGACCUAAGAGAAGAUCUACCUCACUGGAGUUUGGGAAAGCAAAUUCAAACAGCAAUGACGCCAUUUUUCACCAUCAGGUUGGCAAAAAUUUUAAAAAGAUUGGCAACUUCCAAGUGCUGGCAAGGUGGUGAGGAAGUAUACUCUCUUCCGGUAUUGCUUGAGGGAGUGUGAAUUGCUACAAUGUUUGGGGAAAGACUUCUGGUUGUAUUUAUUAACAGUAAAAAUACACAUUUAUUAACAAUAAAAAAGCAAUCCUAUUUUGGGGACUUUAUUCUACAGAAAUAAAAGUGUCAGUACAUAAGGAUAUAUGGAUAAGGAUAUUACUGCACCCUUAUUUAUAGUAGGAAAAAACUGGAAACCACCCAAAGCUUCAGAAAUAGGGGAAUAAUUGGAUAAAUUAUGGCACAGGUGUUCUAUGAAACACUAUACAACGAAUAAAAGAUGGAGUUGGAUCUAGAUAUAUAGGCCUAGAGGUAUAUUUGUGAUAAAUUAAGUGAAAAAAAAAAACAGCUUGCAAAGUAAUAUAUGUGACAUGAUCCCUUUUUCAUAAAAAGUAAAAAAAAAAAUUCCCUUAGGAAUGUGUGUUUACAUUGCAUGAUUUGGUAUGAGCUUGUAGGAAGCAGAGUAAGGAUUCAUAACAAUUUGGUUGAGUUUGGAUAAUUCAGUGGUAGAGAAAAGAGUGUUCCUUUUUCCUUAGCAUACUCCUGUGUUGUUUAACUUGUUACAGCUAGCAUUUUGUAACUUUUGUUAUUUACAACAAGAUAAAUCCAAUAAAGCUGAGGUUAAAGGGAAAAAAACCCCAAGUGAUGUGACUGGGUGCCACUUUCCAUUGUACGAGGAUGGACAAGUGACUGUGCUUGUUAUAAUUUAUUGAUCACUGCCGAUGGGGAUGUGCACUGUCCUAAGACCUCGCCCUGUGCUGUCACUCUGGGAG